rnacentral:tRNA from 1 species
GCCGGAGUGGCGGAAUGGCAGACGCGGCGGACUCAAAAUCCGCUGUCCCUGGCGGACUUGAGGGUUCGAGUCCCUCCUCCGGUA